ACAAAGGUCAGUAUCAUUAGCCCCCUUUUAAAUAUGGUGAAACUGAGGCACAGAGAGGGGAAGUGACUUGCCUUUUGGGAGGCACCAAACUAUUUCCAAAUUCAGUGAAUAGUCUGGGCUGAAAAAAAAAUGGAGAUUUUUUAAAAGUGAAAAUGAAAUAAUUGGACUUUUCCUUCCAAAAUGGCAUUUCAGUUCAAUAUUUAGCUAAUUUUUUAAACCAAAAAUAAAUAAAUAAAUAAAUAGAGCACGCGCGCAAGAGAGAACAAGAAUGAAAAACACCCCAAAGCAAUGAACCCAGAAGGAUUUUUUUCCCCCAUUUUUGUUUUGGCAAGAAAAAAAGAAAAUCAGGCUUGCUUCAAACCAAUCUGAUUUUUUUUUCAGAUUUUUCAGUUUGGCCCAUGUACCAAAAAAAUCAAUUACCCAGCUCUGCUCCUGAGGCUCGCUCCUAGGUCACACUGCAUCCCUUACAAACUCAGCCGCAGAGAGAAAUCAGCAAAUGGUAACAUAGUUUGGGGAUUAAUAUCGGGAAACUGUAGUGACAAGGUGUGAAAUAAACGGUUUCUCUCCCAGUUCAGUUCUGCCCAGGAGUCUGGACCCCUGAGGAGCCAAACUGGAAGCUGCAAGACUAACUCUUAGCUGAAGGAGUUAUGGGGAUCUUAGUUUAUUCCCCUGAGGGAAUUGUGAGGAUCUUUAUUUAUCCCCUUGAUUUACUGCCCCGUUUGUCACUGUCUCCCAGACUGCAGGCCAGGCCAGGUGCCAGCAUGUCCCCAGGCUUUGGUCACACAACUCUCCACCCCCCAUCACUCAGUUCUCUGGUGCAUUGUUGGCACUGGCUUAUUACGGGUCAGUUUCAGGUCCUGGUGCAUUAAAACCUCACUAGUACAAUCACUUAACCAGCAGGGUUUGUUUGCUUGGCUUGGCUGGGCCCUCGGAUGAAGGUGGUGAAUAGGGAGGAUUCUCCCUAAUCGAGGAACAGAUUUUUGAUCUGUUAAAAGUUUUAAGAGAUGAACCGAAAACCUCUGACUUGCCAGGACCUGAGUGCAGAGUCUGUGUUUGUCCUGAUGCGUCUGAUGAUGAGGGUCAUAAAUUAGCUCAGGGCCAGAUUUCCAAGGUCUCCGCUCCUACAGUUGAGGCAGCUCAGCACACAUUUCAGCACCAAAUAAGGACCAAGAUUUUAAAGGAGCUCAGCACCCAUUAUGUACCCACUGUGCCAAACUCUGGCCCUGGCUGUGGGUGCUGAGCCCUUCUUGAGCAUUCCAGCCAGAGAGCUGCUUCCCGGUGCAACACGUCACUGGGGCACCAUGGCAAUGCUCAGGUGUCACUAUGUACAAUGUAAAUGACGACAUACAGUGCAGGGGAGAAUUGGGCCCAUAAUUCCUAAUGCAGAGCAGAGAGCUGCACUUCUGGGAGAGCAAAAUCCCAGGGCAGAGGGAGCAAAGUGGGCAGAGACCAGGUGGGGGAGCCUGCAGGAAGGACUGGGCUGGGGACCAUCCCUCUGGCAGGACAACAGGCUUUACAUUAUCUUUAGUUAUGGGUCUCUGCCCAUCCCUCCUGAAACGGGAUUUAACUCUGCACCCAUUCCCAGCUAACACACUUGGGCCUAGAACAGCUGUAAAAAAACACAGAUGGCUCUUACAAAGCUGAAUGCCUAGUGGCAGCACCCCCUGCCUCCCCUGGCACCAGCCGCUGGCAGAGCUGUUCCUACAUAGCUCUUUCCUUCCAGUCAGGCGGGGAACACAGCAUGUUUAAUCCUCUCUCCUUCCUAUGUGCACCCCAAGUCCACAUCUGUUGUGACUCCACAGCAGCAAUGUAAACAAAGCCAGCAGGUCGGGCUCUUUGCAAGCUGCUUUGCAAACAGGAGGAGACAAUGUAAAGAGAUCCCCAGAGGGGAAAAUAAUGGAGAGUCAUUUACCAGAUGACUCGAGGUCAUCUGACUGAUUUGUACAUGAUGGGACUCUUCCGAGAAAGCCAACACCAGGCGCGGCGCGGGGCAAGAUGCCUUUCCUCACGCUCCCCUGGAGGUAGUUGUGGUAGCCUCCAAUAAGGAGACAGCUACCAGAGAGCACACUGCCAUGCUGUGCAGCUCUGACUGCAUUGUUCCUAGGAGGAGGAAUUUAAGAGACCACAGGAAAGGCAGUUUUCACAUGACCAGGGGAGCCUGUUGCAGAGGACAUGUGGAUCACAGCCCCGUCACCAGGCUGCGGCAUCCUGCGUACGCUGUCCAACCCGUGAAACAACCUCACAGAGUCCAGUGCUUGUUCUAAGCACCAGAGUCCUGCGAGCACCCCUGUCCUGCUGCCCAAUGGGAAGGUGCAUUGCGACGACAGCUGCCAGGGCUGAUCCUGAGCAGCAACGGACAGGUGUUUGUGACAAGGAAGGGGGCUGCUUACUUGAGCUGUGCUUGGCCAGGUAUUUGUCUUUGCACUUCUUCUUUUUCCCAAAGGGGCUGCAGCUCUGGGCUUCACUCUGACUGGACUGGGUUGUACUAGCCACACGCCUACAAGGGGGAAAACACACGAGCGAUGGAGGGAGUCAGAUCAGACCCUGCCAGAUCAGAGCUCUUGACAAGCAGGGCCUUGGAGAUCUUUCUUCCUGAGCAGGAUAAACCAGACUUUCUUUGCAACAUAUUAAAAUAGGGGUUGGCAAAGUAUUGUCCACAACUGUCCUCACUUUUACUAUGGAGCUGUGGCCUGUGAGAUAACAGGUCCCAGCAUGUAGUAAACAGUAUCCCUUUGUUGCCAGAAGGCCAGAGUGCUGGGGAUCAAGAUGGAGUAUUGCAUGCUGGGACUUGAAGACUCUGUGAGCCACAUCUCAGCAUUAAAGACCAUAAAGGGUCCAACUGCCCCUGCAAGUGAGGCUCCCAGACUCCAGAUUUGCUAGUGCAGCCCCUUCCAUUGGUCAAAAUUUGGAUGGACCAACCUGAGGAGAGCCUGUGAAAUACCAGUGACAUUGGCCAAUCUCUUGUUAAUAUAAGAGCUCGGCGGGUUGUGACACCCUGUACCCCAUGUUCACUACUUUUAUAUGGCUAUAAAAUAUUUUGUACAAAGUAUACCUUGUUUGAAAACUC